GACGAACGCUGGCGGCGUGCUUAACACAUGCAAGUCGAACGGAAAAGCCCUGCUUUUGUGGGGUGCUCGAGUGGCGAACGGGUGAGUAACACGUGAGUAACCUGCCCUUGACUUUGGGAUAACUUCAGGAAACUGGGGCUAAUACCGGAUAGGAGCUCCUGCUGCAUGGUGGGGGUUGGAAAGUUUCGGCGGUUGGGGAUGGACUCGCGGCUUAUCAGCUUGUUGGUGGGGUAGUGGCUUACCAAGGCUUUGACGGGUAGCCGGCCUGAGAGGGUGACCGGCCACAUUGGGACUGAGAUACAGCCCAGACUCCUACGGGAGGCAGCAGUGGGGAAUAUUGCACAAUGGGCGGAAGCCUGAUGCAGCAACGCCGCGUGCGGGAUGAAGGCCUUCGGGUUGUAAACCGCUUUCGCCUGUGACGAAGCGUGAGUGACGGUAAUGGGUAAAGAAGCACCGGCUAACUACGUG
rnacentral:rRNA from 1 species